AUUGAACGCUGGCGGCAGGCCUAACACAUGCAAGUCGAACGGGAACAGGAAGCAGCUUGCUGCUUCGCUGACGAGUGGCGGACGGGUGAGUAAUGUCUGGGCAACUGCCUGAUGGAGGGGGAUAACUACUGGAAACGGUAGCUAAUACCGCAUAACGUCGCAAGACCAAAGAGGGGGACCUAAGGGCAUUUUUCUUUAGGAGGGGCCAGGAUGGGUUUGACUAGUAGGUGGGGUACCGGCUCACGUAGGCGUCUAUCCCUGUCUGAGCUAACAGGGUUACCACACACACUGUGACUGAGACACGCUCCGAGGUCCUACGGGAGGCAGCAGUGGGGAAUAUUGCACAAUGGGCGCAAGCCUGAUGCAGCCAGGCCGCGUGUAUGAAGAUGGCCUUCGGGUUGUAAAGUACUUUCAGCGGGGAGGAAGGGAGUAAAGUUAAUACCUCUGCUGAUUGACGUUACCCGCAGAAGAAGCACCGGCUAACUCCGUG
rnacentral:rRNA from 1 species